AUACGUAGCUGGCAAGCGUUGUCCGGAAUUAUUGGGCGUAAAGCGCAUGUAGGCGGUUUGGUAAGUCGGUCGUGAAAAUGCGGUGCUUAACGCCGUAUGGCGAUUGAAACUGCUGAACUUGAGUGCAGGAGAGGAAAGGGGAACUCCCAGUGUAGCGGUGAAAUGCGUAGAUAUUGGGAAGAACACCGGUGGCGAAGGCGCCUUUCUGGACUGUGUCUGACGCUCAGAUGCGAAAGCCAGGGUAGCGAACGGGAUUAGAUACCCCGGUAGUCCUGGCCGUAAACGAUGGGUACUAGGUGUGGGAGGUAUCGACUCCUUCCGUGCCGGAGUUAACGCAAUAAGUACCCCGCCUGGGGAGUACGGCCGCAAGGCUUAAACUCAAAUGAAUUGACGGGG
rnacentral:rRNA from 1 species